CCUCGAUGCAGCCAGCCUCUGAUUGGGACAAAUUUACAACUGUGAGAUGGAGGAAGAAGACGGGCCAGGCCAGAGACUGAAGGCACAGUCCUGAAAACUCAAGUGGGAGAUGGAGAAGAGAAAAAACAGGCCACAUACUUUUUUAAAAAAUAGCUCUACGUUUGCUCACAGAGCAGAAUUCUAGGCUGUGCCAGGCUGAGAAGUCAGGGAAGAAAGCCACGCAGGGUAUGCGGUGUCAGAAAGAUGGAGAGCUCUGUGACAAUAACCCUCCCUGUCCCGCCGGGGGGCCGGGGGCUAUAUCUGGAAGCACAGUUACAUGCUGUCCUCUGAAGGGCAUGAUUCAAUGCAGGUGGGAGGCCGGCCAGAGGCCGGGCAGGGCCACCCAGAGGACAAGGUCGGCUUGGCAAGGCCCCAGGGCCUGGCCAAGGGCGCUGAAAAGUCCUUCCCAGGCCCGCUUAGCCCAGACCUGCGGGUGGCAGGCUCAGGCCCCGACCUGAUUACGACUCUGGCUGGGGGUGUGGUACCAGGGAGGGUAGCGUGUCUAAGAAAGUUUCACCAUAAAGAAUCCUCUGGGACAGAAAAGACUGUAUUUACGCAGGCCCACACCUCACCCACCCAGGAUGGACAGACCCCAGUUGAGACAGAGGGUGCGAUUUCAGCCUUGUUACCUGCGAUCAGGCCUGCUCUCAGCGCACACGUCAGCAAUGAAGAUGAUGGCCUCAAAAGAAUUCCAAUCAAAAUAAGAUGGUUGGUCAGGAGGAGGAGGGAGCGUGUUAACUACCGGGGAAAAGUGUAGAAGAGACGUCUUCGUGAGGUUGAAUCCUGGAGAGAACCCAAGGGAAGCAGCGCCAACCUCCGCCUUCACGCCGCCCACACAGGGGCUUCACCAUGUGGUCUGAGAAGGUGGGCGGGGCCCUGGGGGCCUCAGCCUAAGAAAUUCCUCCCCCUUCCUCCAUACCCUCCAGCGCAGCCAAGUCUCCGUCCUCAACCUUAGAGGCGCAGCUCUCUAAGCUAUGUGUUCUCAACCUGGGCUUCGUGGAGCCUGGGCACUUGGGACAUAUUCUGGAGUUCAUCUAGUCCUGCAUGAGAAAUACAGUAUAUUCUGGAUCUGCAUCCAACUUGAAACCCCACUUUCACAUUUGUGUUUGUUUUGUGGACACCUCAAAACGGAGGGACCAUCUGAAGUGCCAGCUUUUCAUUUUUAAUGCAGUGUUUCUCAACCUGCAGCCCAAGGAGGGUCAUAACAUCCUUAGAACGCUGACGAUACUCCAGUAUGAGAAACUGGGCUUUAAGGCUCUUCAAGACAGCUAUGGGCAGAGGAGGGGGAGGAAGGGGAGGAAAGAGACACCUGCCCGACUGGCUCUUGCUCACAGAAGUUCUUGCUUCUUCUUGUCCAGAGAAGCAGAUCCACUGCCCACUACAAAGCUCCAUGUGGACAUUACAGCAAACAGCCCAUCCAAAUCCCAGGAACCUCCUUCCUGAAGCCGUUCCUCAUCACCCUGGUCCUUGGGAGUUCUUCCCUCCUGUAAACUGCUGCACUCACUCUUUCCCCUUGUGGUGAUGGGGGCACACCCAGCCUUGCUGGUGGCUCACAUCAUACUCUCAGCCAGACCGACAGCCCCCGGAAGGUAAGGACCCUGGCUGCAGCCCCUCUGUCUGUCCUGCCAGGCUUUGCAUCAACUGGCCAUCAGCUAACUGAUGAACUCAUUCAUGAACAAUUUUACCCCCAAAGAUAGUCACAUCUAGUGACCCAGAAUAGUCACUGAGGUUUCUCUGCUGCCCCAGACUUUACCACCUGGUUCCCAUUUGGUUGAUGUUUUGGUCCCCGGACAAGACUCCAGCAUCCCCAGCGCAUGCCUGGGGAAGAUGAGGUUGUUGCAGAACAGACAGAAUGAGUCUCAUGCCAAGUGGUCCAGCUCCACUGGACAGAAUCCAAAAGAUCAGGGAGGCCGUGAUCUUCCUGCCGCGUCUCACUCCAAAACUGAAGUCUGAGGAGCUAGCGACACCCCGAGCCAUCACAGGUCCCACAUUUCGGGGACGCAGCAUUGGUCAGCUGCCCCUUUCACUCCUGACUCAGCAUCACUGAGCAGAGAGCCUCCCCCCAGGAGCAGAGCACCCAGCUGGGUCUCCAUGCAGGUGAGAGCACCGGUGCCGGCUCCCUGGUCCUGCCCCUCCUCUCUGUGUGGCGCGGCAGUGGGGUGUAGGAACGGGCAAAUGACACAGCCAAGCUCUCACCUGGGUAGGGGGGCCAAAUACCCACAGACCCUCCAGCAAUGCUCCCAGAACCCACUGCCCUGCAAGGUGAUGGGGAGGGGUAACAGCCACCACGGCGGCUACAAGUGAACACACGUGACUCGGCCAGAGCAGGAGGAGGCUCAUAAGCCUCACACCUGCUCCUGGUGGCCCAGAUGCAAGGCCCUGAGCGGUAGCCAGUGACCCCAUCCCACCCCCAGGACCGCUGGGGACAGAGACUUACUGGCUCUCCCUGUCUCAGCCCCCCAGUCACUGAGACACCGGUUAUCUUUACAAACAGGAAAGCAAGCCUUUGGGCCAGCACCGCAGUGUGGUAUACUGGAAAAGUAAGGGGCAGAGAGCCCUGGCUAGGAAUCCAGCUUCGCCACUCCUGGCUGUGCGACCUUCCACAAGUUACUUCAAUUCUUUAAGCCUUAGUGUCCUCACCAGUAAAAUGGGACCAGCAGAACUACCUUGCAACGUCAGCGUACGAUAAGUGAGUUCAGACAUGGAGAAGGCCAAGCACCAAGCCUGGAACACAGCAGGCAUCCAAAUACUGCUGCUGUUAUUUCUUCCCUCCCUUCCUCUGCCCAAAGUGGAAGAGACAGUUAUGAAAAUGCAGAGUAUUGCACGGAACGCAGA